CCUACGGGAGACAGCAGUGAGGAAUAUUGGUCAAUGGGCGCGAGCCUGAACCAGCCAAGUCGCGUGAGGGAAGACGGCCCUACGGGUUGUAAACCUCUUUUGCCGGGGAGCAACGGGCGCCACGUGUGGCGCCACUGAGAGUACCCGGAGAAAAAGCAUCGGCUAACUCCGUGCCAGCAGCCGCGGUAAUACGUAGGUGGCAAGCGUUAUCCGGAUUUACUGGGUGUAAAGGGCGUGUAGGCGGGGAAGCAAGUCAGAUGUGAAAACCACGGGCUCAACCUGUGGCCUGCAUUUGAAACUGUUUGGCUUGAGUACUGGAGAGGCAGACGGAAUUCCUGGUGUAGCGGUGAAAUGCGUAGAUAUUAGGAGGAAAACCAGUGGCGAAGGCGGUCUGCUGGACAGCAACUGACGUUGAGGCGCGAAAGCGUGGGGAGCAAACAGGAUUAGAUACCCGUGUAGUC
rnacentral:rRNA from 1 species